rnacentral:rRNA from 1 species
AUUGAACGCUGGCGGCAUGCUUUACACAUGCAAGUCGAACGGCAGCGCGGGCUUCGGCCUGGCGGCGAGUGGCGAACGGGUGAGUAAUGCAUCGGAACGUGCCCAGUAGUGGGGGAUAGCCCGGCGAAAGCCGGAUUAAUACCGCAUACGACCUGAGGGUGAAAGCGGGGACCGAAAGGCCUCGCGCUAUUGGAGCGGCCGAUGUCGGAUUAGCUAGUUGGUGGGGUAAAGGCUUACCCAGGCGACGAUCCGUAGCUGGUCUGAGAGGACGACCAGCCACACUGGGACUGAGACACGGCCCAGACUCCUACGGGAGGCAGCAGUGGGGAAUUUUGGACAAUGGGGGCAACCCUGAUCCAGCCAUGCCGCGUGCGGGAAGAAGGCCUUCGGGUUGUAAACCGCUUUUGUUCGGGAAGAAAUCCUCUGGGCUAAUACCCCGGGGGGAUGACGGUACCGGAAGAAUAAGCACCGGCUAACUACGUG